CAUCAUUCUAUCUGCGUCGCUACACCGCGAAAAGCCGACGACAUGCUCCAGUCACGCACACCCGGCAGGUGGCGUGUUGCACGCCGGCAUGCAUGCUUCAAUGCGGCCAUCGUCUGCAGCUCGCUCUUGGAGUCGUCGACCCUGUCCACCUCGGCGACGCGUCUUCCAGGCCGGGCUUCAGCAUUGCUAUCCGUCGCUGGACCACGUGGCAGCAGCACUAGUCGCCACAGCGCGACCCAUACUUUCACGCUGCGUGAGUCGGUGCGACGCUGCCACACCAAAGCCGCCGUCACCACCACGACGACCACCAGCAGCAUCGCCCCCCUCGACUCGGCGUCAUUUCUAUCCACGCUCUUGGAGCCUGACAAGACGGUUUCGCUCGAGGACACGAUGCGCACCUACGCAACCAUGGACGUGGUGGAGCGGUGCGACGUGUACGAUCCAAGUGUGCCGAACGUCGCGUCAUCGCCGCGACCCACGACGGGGGACGGUGCGGCGCAAGCGCAGCUGGACGACGAGUCCGCCGAUGGCGCCACAACGGCACCCGCGUACCCGCUACGUGCCGCACACGCUCAGGGGCGACUCUGGUCGCACUUUGCGGGCGCCCAAGAGACGGCGGCGCAGAGGGGCCUGAGCGAGGGCGUCGCCGAGCCGCCCGCGUGGUUUGUGCAGCUCUGCAGGGAUUUGUAUUUCCGCACCGACAGCGGAGCGGCGGACAAGCGAGUCGCCGACGACUUUGACGUUGUCGCGCAGGCAAGCGAUCCGCUGGCCGACCAGGCGGCAGCUGCAGCGGCGAGGAGUGCGGGGAGCGGCCGCGGAGCGGCGGCGCCGCCAUCACUGCCUGCCGGCAGCUCGCCUGCCUGCACGCAGGCUCAGCGUGCUGACGACUCGGUGGAGGUGGAUCCGUACGUUUGGCUGCCCUUUGAUCUUCUUGAUGUGAAGGACUACAACGUGGGGCCGUACGAGUUUCCGCCGGCCGCGACGUACACGGUGGAGCAGCAGGUGAAGCUGUGCCUUGGGCAGCGGCACAGGGAGUACGUGCACUUCUGCAACACCUACUGCUUCCCUGAGCGCUGGCAGAUGCCGACCUCGAUGGGCACGCAGCCUGCGCGACUGCUGGUCGACCCGUCGUGCCCCACGCCUGUGGUUUUUCUACAGCUCUCCCCAGACUUUCCGCCUGCGAUGUGGCUGCCCAUGAAGCCCUCGGUGACUGCCAUCCGCGGUGUCCUCAGCAGCUUCGCGGCCCAGGCUUUCCUGCACCGCGAAGAGCAGCACGCAGUGUUCGCCCACCGGUACGAGACGGCGAAACGGGUCAUGGAGCUGCAGCAGCUGCCCACCACGCAGGAGGGCGAUGUGCUGCGCUUCAUGGCGUACGAGGCACGCAACACCCCGUACCUCGAUGCCCCGCUGCGCGAGUACCCGAACCAGCAGGAGUUCUUUCUCGGUGAGUACGACGACCCGGAGCGGUUGCUCGAGCACUUCGACCUCUGCCCUUUCGUCUUCGCCAUCUCUCAUCUCCGGACAGUGACGGACCUGCACGCAGAGCAUAUGACGCCGACCAUCGAGGGCGCCGGCGUAGCGCCGUCCCUCUUCCGCUGCAUCUUCUCGAAGGCCCUGAUCCAGAUUUCCGUGCACCUCUCGGCAGAGGUGAAGCUGCCACCGCAGGACCCAGAGGCGUUCCACUUUAUGUGGAAGGACUCCCAGGUGGUGCCCAAGAUGAAGAUCCCCGUCUUCGCGCGCGUGUCGUGGCCGGACAACCACAACCUCUGCGGCGGUGGCCUUCUGGCGCGCCGCUUCAACAAGCUCUUCAGCACCGAGUUCGCCUCUGAUACGCCGGUGGAUGCUAUCCUCAGCGUUUACUACGUGAUGCAGUGGGCGCAGCGGGCGCAGGACCUGCUGGGUGUGCGCGGCAUGCGGCAGCGUGUGGCGGAGCUGGAGGCAGCGGCUCACCUUCCCGAGCCGGCGAAGCUGUACCCCGGAACCCGCGAGAUCCCUAACCCGGAAUACACGGCUCAGGAGCGGCUGGGGAUGCACAUCCAGUACCUGAGCCACCUGGGCGAUCCGCAGGUGCUGGAGACCAUCCAGGCGCUGCUGCCGACGGCGCCCGCGCCGGUGCGGAUGGGCUGCGCCAAGGCGGCACUGAUUGCCGGAGACCGGGAACUCUUUCGGCGCAUCGUCUCCAGCGAGCCGCCAGGUCGUAUGCAGCACUACAUGACGAAACUUGUUGUGAAGCGUAAGACGCGUGACCUUGUCGACCCAGAGCCACGCCUGCUGGAGGAUCAGUAUGAGUUUGCCGCCCCGUUGUGGACGAAGCGGGGGACGCGCAUUGACCGCAACACGCUGGAGGGUGCAGUGGAUGCAGCUCGGCUGCUGCGGUAGUAGGGCCGCCCCUCAAGCCGGAGCCAUCGCACUUCCGUGCACCCAACCACCCCUUUCCCCUUAUAACAGAGCAAGAGAAGGCGCCGCGGAGGCAAGCCCUUUAAGUGCGUAACAGCACCUGCCCUUCAUGCGCGCGGCCACGAGACAGACACGGGUGCCACGGUGUAGUGCUCGCACUCCUCGAGAAGGGGGCGGGAUGGAGGGAGCACGGGUGAAUGGAAUGCGGAGUGAAAGAAACGAAAAGGAAGCACGGACCGCGCAAGCGGACGUCAUAAGGCUUCACGCAUGGGCCACUUGUGCCCCCUCCUUCUCCCUCUCUCACACAAGCACACACUGUGCACGCCAAUGCGAGCGAGCGUUCGGUGACCCGGCGAGGCAGUCGAGCGGGCCGGUUUCUGCACGCACAAGCAAACACACCCUACGUGCGCACGUGCGUGAGUCUCUUGCGACGUAAACUGGCUCGGUUGUUCACUAUCUAUUCACCGCUAUCACUGGCCCGCUUCCUUUCUCGCCUGCCGCUCUUCCCUCUCCGCCCUCCUCCUCUCUCGCCCAAACACUCGGCCCACCGAUUAUAAUUAUCCGUCGCGUACAUACGUACACACGCGUGUCUGUCACCGCUUACACCCUUGUUCAUGAGCUCAG
rnacentral:misc_RNA from 1 species